rnacentral:rRNA from 1 species
UACGUAGGGCGCGAGCGUUGUCCGGAAUUAUUGGGCGUAAAGCGUGCGUAGGCGGUUCGUUAAGUCAGCUGUGAAAGCCCCGGGCUCAACCUGGGAACUGCGGUUGAAACUGGCGAACUAGAAUCUGGCAGAGGGGGUGGAAUUCCACGUGUAGCAGUGAAAUGCGUAGAGAUGUGGAGGAACACCGAUGGCGAAGGCAGCCCCCUGGGCUGAGAUUGACGCUCAGGCACGAAAGCGUGGGGAGCAAACAGG